AACAAACGCUGGCGGCGUGCCUAACACAUGCAAGUCGUACGGGAAAGGGUCCUUCGGGACCUGAGUAAAGUGGCGCACGGGUGAGGAGCGCGUGGAUAAUCUACCCUUCAGCUGGAACCAACUCAACGAAAGGGGGGCUAAUACCGAAUAAUACUGCCCGACUUUGGUCGAGCAGGCAAAGAGAGCCUCGGCUUGAAAGCACUCGUUGAAGGAUGAGUUCGGGUACCAUUAGCUUGUUUGUAGGGUAAUGGACUAACAAGGCGACGUUGAUUUACUGGUCUGAGAAGAUGAGCAGCCACACUGGAACUGAGACACGGUCCAGACUCCUACGGGGGGCAGCAGUGAGGAAUCUUGCGCAAUGGGGGAAACCCUGACGCAGCAACGCCGCGUGAGUGAGGAAGGUCUUCGGAUCGUAAAGCUCUGUCAGUUGGAAAGAAAUGUCUGAGAGUCAAUCCCUUUCAGGCUUGACGGUACCAACAGAGGAAGCACCGGCUAACUCCGUGCCAGCAGCCGCCGUAA
rnacentral:rRNA from 1 species